rnacentral:rRNA from 1 species
GUCGAACGGAGUUAUCAUUUCAGAAGCAAUUAGCUUGCUAAGAGUCGAAGAGAGGAUAACUUAGUGGCGGACGGGUGAGUAACGCGUGGGGAACCUGCCCUGCACCGGGGGAUAACACCUGGAAACAGGUGCUAAUACCGCAUAAGCGCACGAGGCCGCAUGGCCAGGUGUGAAAAACUAAGGUGGUGCAGGAUGGACCCGCGUCUGAUUAGCUUGUUGGUAGGGUAACGGCCUACCAAGGCGACGAUCAGUAGCCGGCCUGAGAGGGUGAACGGCCACAUUGGGACUGAGACACGGCCCAAACUCCUACGGGAGGCAGCAGUGGGGAAUAUUGGACAAUGGGGGGAACCCUGAUCCAGCGACGCCGCGUGAGUGAAGAAGUAUUUCGGUAUGUAAAGCUCUAUCAGCAGGGAAGAAAGAAAUGACGGUACCUGACUAAGAAGCCCCGGCUAACUACGUGCCAGCAGCCGCGGUAAUACGUAGGGGGCAAGCGUUAUCCGGAUUUACUGGGUGUAAAGGGAGCGUAGACGGCAGUGCAAGUCUGAAGUGAAAGGCGGGGGCCCAACCCCCGGACUGCUUUGGAAACUGUGCUGCUGGAGUGCAGGAGAGGCAAGUGGAAUUCCUAGUGUAGCGGUGAAAUGCGUAGAUAUUAGGAGGAACACCAGUGGCGAAGGCGGCUUGCUGGACUGUAACUGACGUUGAGGCUCGAAAGCGUGGGGAGCAAACAGGAUUAGAUACCCUGGUAGUCCACGCCGUAAACGAUGAUCACUAGGUGUCNGUGGGUAUGGACCCAUCGGUGCCGCAGCNAACGCAGUAAGUGAUCCACCUG